GCGGGUGUAGUUCAAUGGUAGAACAUUGGCCUUCCAAGCCGAAUGCGAGGGUUCGAUUCCCUUCACCCGCU
rnacentral:tRNA from 1 species